rnacentral:rRNA from 1 species
UACGUAGGGUGCAAGCGUUAAUCGGAAUUACUGGGCGUAAAGCGUGCGCAGGCGGUUUUGUAAGUCUGUUGUGAAAUCCCCGGGCUCAACCUGGGAAUGGCAAUGGAGACUGCAAGGCUAGAGUUUGGCAGAGGGGGGUAGAAUUCCACGUGUAGCAGUGAAAUGCGUAGAUAUGUGGAGGAACACCGAUGGCGAAGGCAGCCCCCCUGGGUCAAAAACUGACGCUCAUGCACGAAAAGCGUGGGGG